rnacentral:rRNA from 1 species
UACGUAGGGGGCUAGCGUUGUCCGGAAUCAUUGGGCGUAAAGCGCGUGUAGGCGGCCCGGUAAGUCCGCUGUGAAAGCCCACGGCUCAACCGUGGAGGGUCAUUGGAAACUGGGGGACUUGAGUGCAGGAGAGAAGAGUGGAAUUCCACGUGUAGCGGUGAAAUGCGUAGAGAUGUGGAGGAACACCAGUGGCGAAGGCGACUCUUUGGCCUGUAACUGACGCUGAGGCGCGAAAGCGUGGGGAGCAAACAGG